CAGCAGCGCGGGAAUACGGAGGGUGCAAGCGUUAAUCGGAAUUACUGGGCGUAAAGCGUGCGUAGGCGGUUCGUUAAGUCUGUUGUGAAAGCCCCGGGCUCAACCUGGGAAUGGCAAUGGAUACUGGCGAGCUAGAGUGUGUCAGAGGAUGGUGGAAUUCCCGGUGUAGCGGUGAAAUGCGUAGAGAUCGGGAGGAACAUCAGUGGCGAAGGCGGCCAUCUGGGACAACACUGACGCUGAGGCACGAAAGCGUGGGGAGCAAACAGGAUUAGAUACCCGGGUAGUCCCUGUCUCUUAUACA
rnacentral:rRNA from 1 species